GCUUACGGCCAUACCAGCCCAGGAACGCCCGGUCUCGUCUGAUCUCGGAAGCUAAGAAGGCUUGGGCCUGGUUAGUACUUGGAUGGGAGACCUGCUGGGAAUACCAGGUGCUGUAAGCU
ensembl:rRNA 5S_rRNA 5S ribosomal RNA